CACACCGGGAUUUGCCCUCAUGUGCGCAGUGUCUUACAUCACCCACGUGCUGCUGUGCUCAAGCUUUAUCGGUUUAACGGCCGAGCUACAAAUCGCGUGACCACCCCCUCCCCCACUGACAACAGAGGAGUCAGGAGCUGAGCUGUUCCCAUUGGUGCGAAACGAUGUCAAUCACUGGUUACGCCCAAUGACGGAAGCGAACAAGCCGAAAGGGUGUUACACCCGCUGCCACCCGCUCUCCCUGUCAAAGCGGAGUAAAUAUUCCGCUUUUUGAUUUAUUUCCAUUUCCCUCCGAGGGAAGUUUGGGGCGUUUGUGAAGCUUCACCUGCGGCCGGUGUCUGAUGUAUCGCUGAGGUUAUACAGAUCAAAGAACAAAAUGCCGGAAGAACACAGAGGGUUGGGCAGCAUCUGUGGAGGGAAAUGGACUGUCAACAUUUCGGGCGAGACCCUCCCUCCGGACUGACAGUAGACGGGAAAUAGUCAGAGAAAAGAGAUCUGCAGGUCACUGCUCUAUAUGUACGUGUAGCUUCAUCUUCUGCCCGUUCAGAUAUGGCAGUAAGAUCCAGAUCUUUCACAUCCUCUCAUUGUGGGUGGACAAUGUUUUUUUCUGCAAUAUUUUCAGCACAUUUC